rnacentral:rRNA from 1 species
UACGAAGGGGGCUAGCGUUGUUCGGAAUUACUGGGCGUAAAGGGCGCGUAGGCGGCUAGGCAAGUCAGGUGUGAAAGCCCCGAGCUUAACUCGGGAAUUGCAUCUGAAACUGCUGUGCUUGAGUUCUGGAGGGGGUAGUGGAAUUCCCAGUGUAGCGGUGAAAUGCGUAGAUAUUGGGAGGAACACCUGCGGCGAAGGCGGCUACCUGGACAGAAACUGACGCUGAGGCGCGAAAGCUAGGGGAGCGAACGGG